ACCUGCUUCUGGUCUCAAUAUAAAUAUGGCAAAGUCCACUAUCUCUCCCAUCACACCAACUACGUUGUCAAGUCCUCUAUCGCGUCAAACAAAUCGAUAAGUUGUUCGAUCUUUGCAUUUUCGUCGUCUCCUUCUCCAUCCGCCUCAAGUGAGCCGGUCGAGACAAGCCUUUCCCUUCCAGCCACUCUUCUCGUACGUGCAACUUCAUCAUUGUUCGAGUCAUGCAUCUCUCCUCUUCGUGAGCCAAGUCCCUUCACCCGAGCCAUUUUCAAGUCGCCUCCCUUGUAUGUGAGUCGAUUGCCUUUCUCCUAGCCGAGUCGCAUCCCUUCUCCAAGUCAAGUUGCAUAUUUGGUAUCUUUUUAGCCAUUUGGGGGCAAAAUAAAGAUAGAGAAAAAGUUGGCAACCAACAGAAAGGAUUUGUGACAUGUCAUAUGGGGACACAGCUUUGCUUCAGCUUUUCAUGGAGGCAAACCUUCGUUAUAAAAAUUCGGGGAUAAUAUUUCUGAAAAGAUACACAAACAGAUGAGCAAUUGGAAAUAUUCUUAUAUAUCUAAAGGUGGCAAAAUUACUCUCAUCAACCUUCCCACCUACAUCAACUUUCGGUCUUCAAAGCUGCUCCUAUUGCUACUUACAAGACCAUUGAAAGACACUGGCAUAAUUUAACUCUUUGGAAAAAUCCCAAUUAGAAGAGACAUCUCAUGAGGUGGUCUGUCAUCACUACUUCUCCAAAAGAAAAAGGGGGCUUGGGUUAACAGAUUGGUCGAUACCAAUUUGGAGGUUCUAUUCUGAACAAAAUCCUCUCUGGAAAAGGAUGAUCUUAGCUGAAUACAACCAAUCCUUCAUUGGAAAAAUUCCCACCUAUGAAAAAUAUAGUAGCUCGAAAGCCCCAUGGAAAUCAUAAAAGGAUGGAUUGGUUCCUUGUUCACGUGAGAUGGAAAAUCAACAAUGGUGAAAAUCUCUCAUUUUGGAAAAGUGCAUAGAAUGAAAAAAGCUCUCUCUCCAUAUACAGACCAAGAUUGUUCCCGCUUUCAAAAGUUCAAAAUAGAUCAGUCAAAGACGCUUGGAACCAAAACACAUCAGAAUGGGACUUUCAGCCUCGGAGACCACUUCGAAACUUUGAAUCCCAACAAUGGGACGAUUUAAAAUCCUACUUUUCACUACUCCUUGUGACAAUAGAUCAGGCCCUAAUACUCCGAUAUGGCAUUUAAAAAAUGAUGGCAAAUUUAGCAUUGUUUCUGUGAAAAAAAACUAUACAUUGCCAGGAACUAAAUGGAUGAGACAUCUGUCAAAACCCAAAUUUUUUUAGCAAUCUCUGGAAAUCAAACAUCCCCAAAAAUGCAGGUUCUUAAUUUAUCUUGACCCUUAUACAUAGAUGCAUCAAAUAAUGCUCAUCUGAAUCCAAACUGGUGCAUUCUAUAAAACACACUAUGAAGAUAUUGACCACAUCUUCAUUUCUUGCUAUGCUACUCAGAAAUUUUGGACUAAAUCGGAGAACCUAUUGAGCUGGAAAAAUUAUGAUCAUCAGAACAUUGCUUCCCUCUAUAAUGAACUCUGCUCCAUCAACCAAAAGAAUCGAAGUGGCAUCAUCAAAUUCAAUACUAUUUCACCGGUCCUUUAGUCCAUUGGCUGGAAAGAAAUAACUGAAUCUUCAAAGACAAGAAAUAAUUGAUUAUUGAUCUGACAUUUGUGGGCUCACGGGAUAGUGGACUAGCAGAUCUAUCAUCUUCGCCAAGUACGGUUCAAGCUUAAUUGCUUUAUAUCUUCGUGCAAGUUUAACUUUUCUCAUUGGAGCUUAUCUCUAGCCUCUUUUUAUUUUCUCCUUUGUUUCGAUGUACUUGUUUUCUUAUCAUUAAUGAAGUGAAGUUGAUGGGGUGCGUCACCUAGUGAGAAACAUAUUUUAAAAAAUGUAAUAUAUGAGAACAAACAUCAUUCAAAACU